rnacentral:lncRNA from 1 species
CUCCAGGGCACCUAAGCAUGCGGCAAGAAGACAAUCAUCUGAAAGACAGGAAAAGGGCCCUUACCAAGUAUUGAAAUGGCCGGCACCUAGAUCUUGGACUUCUCAACGUUCCAGAACUGAAUCUUUUGAGACUGGGGCUACAAUCAUCACCAGGAUGAAGAUGAAGAAACAAAAGCUCAGAGCUGCCCAUCCUCCCCUACACCAUCUAGUGAAUCUGGCAGAACUCACCACACUGUGAUUUGAACAUCCUGGGAACUCUUCAGAAGCAGGUAACUGCAUUAUGCCAAUAGCUACAUUACCAAGGUUGCCAUGGCUUCCAACUGGCUUGGGAAUAAUCUGGCUGUUUGGCUAAGACAACAUCAUAGAGAAUAUUUAGAAGAGCACAACUUCCUCCCCAUGCUUAUAAAAUUAUCUUGCUAAACUGCUUACUGAUGCAGAGUUUAGAAGAAGUAAUCCUUUAUGUAAAUUUAUUUUAGAAAUUUUUAAGCAAGUAUUCUGUUAUUGACAUUUCAAGCAAGUUUUACUCUUGAAAUUGUUUUGUCACGGUAUUAAGGAGAACUUAAACAUAGAUUUUUAAAUAUAUAUAACAUAUAAAAUAAAUAUAUGUAAAGUAUAUAUAUGUAAAAUAACUAUGUAUAUAUGUAAAGUAUAUACACAUAUAUAUGUAAAAUAGAGUUGUUUUUAUCUUUGGAUGUUUUAAAUGAUUGUCAUUGAAUAUCACUGAAUGAUUUAAAAUGAUUGAGCAUUAACAUUUUCUAUUUAAAACAUCACAUGUGUUUAGCAUUAAGAACACAUUCACUUUGCAAAGUUUAAAGAACUGUAAAAUGUUAAACUUAUUCUGAAAAAACAUUCAUAAAAAUGCAAAUUUCUUGUUAAAAUUUUGAAAUAUACAUAGAUUUAUAAUAACUUACAAAAUAACAUAGCAUCAGUUAUGUUUUCUAUGUAUUAUAAUUUUUUAAAUAUACAAAGUAAUAAGUUCAAAAGAUUUGGAGAUGCCUCUUUAAGGUCUCCAUAUCUAUAAUUAUUUCAUUAAUUGAUUUUAUCUAGGUUCUAUAGUGAGAAUUAUAUUUGAUGACUAAAUGCUAAAUCAAGUUAAAUUAAAUUAACAAAUAAUUUGUUUCAAAAACCAAAGGAAAUAACAAAAAAAGUAAUUUUUGACUAUGAUGAAACAUAUACUUUUGAAAACACACAAAAUUACACUCAUAAGUUCAUUAUGUAUAUGUAACAAUUUUAAUAGCUAGACAAAAAAAGUUUGUUGCUGAUUAACUUAAAGGAAUUUAUUUCUGCAAAAUUAAAAGAACACAUAAAAGCCACGAUAUCAUAUUACUGAAAAGGAAAAUAAUGAACUGUGUCAGCAUAUCAUAACAUUUGUAUGUUUGAAUAUGAAUUUAUAAAUAUAUAUUAUAAAUAUGUACACAUCAUAUAAAAUAUGAUUUCAAAUCAUAAUUUUUCAGUAACUAGAAUAUUCUAAUUAUCCAAGAACUGAAACAUACUACAUAGACAAUAAUAAAAACACACAUUAUUUCAUAUUUCACACCUACAUCAAUGCUUUCUACAAUU